UGGGGAAUAUUGGACAAUGGGGGCAACCCUGAUCCAGCAAUGCCGCGUGUGUGAAGAAGGCCUUCGGGUUGUAAAGCACUUUCGGUGGGGACAAACAAGGUGGAGCUAACAUCUCCGCCUCUGAUGGUACCCAAAGAAGAAGCACCGGCUAACUCUGUGCCAGCAGCCGCGGUAAUACAGAGGGUGCAAGCGUUAAUCGGAAUUACUGGGCGUAAAGCGUGCGUAGGUGGUUUGCUAAGUCAGGUGUGAAAUCCCCGGGCUCAACCUGGGAACUGCAUUUGAUACUGGCGAACUAGAGUGUGGUAGAGGGUGGUGGAAUUCCCGGUGUAGCGGUGAAAUGCGUAGAUAUCGGGAGGAACAUCAGUGGCGAAGGCGGCCACCUGGACCAACACUGACACUGAGGCACGAAAGCGUGGGUAGCAAA
rnacentral:rRNA from 1 species